rfam:Apis mellifera strain DH4 unplaced genomic scaffold GroupTn4484, whole genome shotgun sequence.
CCCCUUUUUUUAUUAGUGAAAUAUUAUUAUAUUAAAAUUGUUGGUUUACCCAACUAUGGCAAUAAACGGUAUAUGAAAUAGGCGUAGUGGACCCGGGGGCGGUACCCGGCGUCUCCACCAUAAAGCUUAUGGGGACGAAACAGGAUCGACACGCGUAGUAAAGAUAUAUUUUUUGCUCGGUAUUGUACCACCGUUAUCGGACUGUUUUUUACAAAUGCCAACGAUAAUUUCGAGGCACACGCUAUCGCGGCCUAAUAAGCCAAUGUGACAAGCGCGGCUUGAAGGGUGCCGGGCAACAGAAACCCUUCACU